rnacentral:RNase_P_RNA from 1 species
GGAGUUGGCCAGGCAGUCGCUCUUCGCGUCGGCAACGACCGUGGAGGGAGGAAAGUCCGGGCUCCACAGGGCAAGGUGCCAGGUAACGCCUGGGGGGCGCGAGCCUACGGAAAGUGCCACAGAAAAUAUACCGCCCCGUGCCUUUACGGCGCGAGGUAAGGGUGAAAUGGUGCGGUAAGAGCGCACCGCGUUGCCGGUAACGGGAACGGCACGGUAAACCCCACCCGGAGCAAGACCAAAUAGGGGAGCGGCGGCUUCGGCCCAGCGUGCGGCCCGCACGGCUCCCGGGUAGGUCGCUUGAGGCGCAUGGUGACGUGCGUCCCAGAUGAAUGGCUGCCCACGACAGAACCCGGCUUAUCGGCUGACUCCUCCU